rnacentral:antisense_RNA from 1 species
AAAGACAAAGCCAGUGGAAUGGUCCGAGUGUGGCAUCCGCUGCAUUUAUAAAGAAUAAGAGCUGCAGUGGGUGUGAUUCUUGGACAGAGUGGCACUCAUCCUUGUUCCUGCAAUGAAGGACAUGCCAGCCUCCAGGCUCUUUGACAGAUGAUUGGAACUGUGCAAGUAUUAUGGAAGAUACCCCGUGUCAAGAAGCUGACAGCACACACGUUUGGGAAGGAUUUAGUGGCUGAAGCACUUCUAGAAGAAUGCCAGAGCAAGAGUGUGAAACAGAGAGCACAGAGCCGUGAUGCUGCCCCCUGCCGGUGGUGCAGGAGAAAGGACGCAACCUCAGUCUACGACUCCUGCCAAGAUUAUCAGCCACGCUAGAAACUAAAGGGUGAAAACAGGGUUUCUCUGCUGCAAUUCCAUUUCUUCCUCUAGAAACUUGUCGUAGGAAUGACUCCCUGUAACUUCCCACACCUGCCUCUUCUUUCUGUAAGUGUUGGCUAACAGAAUCCCCUCCUUCCUCGGUCCUUGCUAAGUGACUGAAUUCAGAAACUCCUGGACAAUAUUACAACCAUCCGU